rnacentral:rRNA from 1 species
ACGAACGCUGGCGGCACGCUUAGCACAUGCAAGUCGAACGAGAGAAGAGGAGCUUGCUUUUCUGAUCUAGUGGCGGACGGGUGAGUAACACGUGAGCAAUCUGCCUUUCAGAGGGGGAUACCGAUUGGAAACGAUCGUUAAUACCGCAUAACAUAAUUGAACCGCAUGAUUUGAUUAUCAAAGAUUUAUCGCUGAAAGAUGAGCUCGCGUCUGAUUAGCUAGUUGGUAAGGUAACGGCUUACCAAGGCGACGAUCAGUAGCCGGACUGAGAGGUUGAUCGGCCACAUUGGGACUGAGACACGGCCCAGACUCCUACGGGAGGCAGCAGUGGGGAAUAUUGCACAAUGGAGGAAACUCUGAUGCAGCGAUGCCGCGUGAGGGAAGAAGGUUUUAGGAUUGUAAACCUCUGUCUUCAGGGACGAAAAAUGACGGUACCUGAGGAGGAAGCUCCGGCUAACUACGUGCCAGCAGCCGCGGUAAUACGUAGGGAGCGAGCGUUGUCCGGAAUUACUGGGUGUAAAGGGAGCGUAGGCGGGAUCGCAAGUCAGAUGUGAAAACUAUGGGCUUAACCCAUAAACUGCAUUUGAAACUGUGGUUCUUGAGUGAAGUAGAGGUAAGCGGAAUUCCUAGUGUAGCGGUGAAAUGCGUAGAUAUUAGGAGGAACAUCAGUGGCGAAGGCGGCUUACUGGGCUUUAACUGACGCUGAGGCUCGAAAGCGUGGGGAGCAAACAGGAUUAGAUACCCUGGUAGUCCACGCCGUAAACGAUGAUUACUAGGUGUGGGGGGACUGACCCCUUCCGUGCCGCAGCAAACGCAAUAAGUAAUCCACCUGGGGAGUACGACCGCAAGGUUGAAACUCAAAGGAAUUGACGGGGGCCCGCACAAGCAGUGGAGUAUGUGGAUUAAUUCGAAGCAACGCGAAGAACCUUACCAGGUCUUGACAUCGUAUGCAUAGCUCAGAGAUGAGUGAAAUCUCUUCGGAGACAUAUAGACAGGUGGUGCAUGGUUGUCGUCAGCUCGUGUCGUGAGAUGUUGGGUUAAGUCCCGCAACGAGCGCAACCCUUACUGUUAGUUGCUACGCAAGAGCACUCUAGCAGGACUGCCGUUGACAAAACGGAGGAAGGUGGGGAUGACGUCAAAUCAUCAUGCCCCUUAUGACCUGGGCCUCACACGUACUACAAUGGCUGUCAACAGAGGGAAGCAAAGCCGCGAGGUGGAGCAAACCCCUAAAAGCAGUCUUAGUUCGGAUUGUAGGCUGCAACCCGCCUACAUGAAGUCGGAAUUGCUAGUAAUCGCAGAUCAGCAUGCUGCGGUGAAUACGUUCCCGGGCCUUGUACACACCGCCCGUCACGCCAUGGGAGUCGGUAACACCCGAAGCCUGUAGUCUAACCGCAAGGAGGACGCAGUCGAAGGUGGGAUUGAUGACUGGGGUG